UACGUAGGGUGCAAGCGUUGUCCGGAAUUAUUGGGCGUAAAGAGCUCGUAGGCGGUUUGUCGCGUCUGCUGUGAAAACCGGAGGCUCAACCUCCGGCCUGCAGUGGGUACGGGCAGACUAGAGUGGCGGUAGGGGAGAUUGGAAUUCCUGGUGUAGCGGUGGAAUGCGCAGAUAUCAGGAGGAACACCGAUGGCGAAGGCAGAUCUCUGGGCCGUAACUGACGCUGAGGAGCGAAAGCAUGGGGGAGCGAACAGG
rnacentral:rRNA from 1 species